UGAGUAGAGAAGAACAAUCGAAUCAGAUGC
rnacentral:piRNA from 1 species